rnacentral:rRNA from 1 species
UACGUAGGGGGCAAGCGUUGUCCGGAAUCAUUGGGCGUAAAGAGCGUGUAGGCGGUCCGGUAAGUCGGCUGUGAAAGUCCAGGGCUCAACCCUGGGAUGCCGGUCGAUACUGCCGGACUAGAGUUCGGAAGAGGCAAGUGGAAUUCCUGGUGUAGCGGUGGAAUGCGCAGAUAUCAGGAGGAACACCAAUAGCGAAGGCAGCUUGCUGGGACGGUACUGACGCUAAGGCGCGAAAGCGUGGGGAGCGAACAGG